rnacentral:rRNA from 1 species
GCAGGCCUAACACAUGCAAGUCGAGCGCUGUAGCAAUACAGAGCGGCGCACGGGAUAAUAACGCGUGGGAAACUACCUUUUGGUUCGGGAUAACAUCGGGAAACUGGUGCUAAUACCGGAUAAGCCCCCUGGGGGAAAGAUUUAUUGCCAAAAGAUGUGCCCGCGUUGGAUUAGCUAGUUGGUGAGGUAAUGGCUCACCAAGGCAACGAUCCAUAGCUGGUCUGAGAGGAUGAUCAGCAUCACUGGGACUGAGACACGGCCCAGACUCCUACGGGAGGCAGCAGUGGGGAAUAUUGGACAAUGGGGGAAACCCUGAUCCAGCCAUGCCGCGUGAAUGAUGAAGGCCUUCGGGUUGUAAAGUUCUUUUGCAGGGGACGAUGAUGACGGUACCCUGAGAAUAAGCUCCGGCUAACUUCGUGCCAGCAGCCGCGGUAAUACGAAGGGAGCUAGCGUUGUUCGGAAUUACUGGGCGUAAAGGGCGCGUAGGCGGUUUGACAAGUUGGAUGUGAAAGCCCAGGGCUUAACCCUGGAAUUGCAUUCAAGACUGUUUGACUAGAAUUCGGUAGAGGUUGGUAGAAUUCCCAGUGUAGAGGUGAAAUUCGUAGAUAUUGGGAAGAAUACCCGUGGCGAAGGCGGCCAACUGGACCGACAUUGACGCUGAGGCGCGAAAGCGUGGGUAGCAAACAGGAUUAGAUACCCUGGUAGUCCACGCCGUAAACGAUGCAUGCUAGACGUUAAAACCUUCAAGGUUUUAGUGUCGCAGCUAACGCACUAAGCAUGCCGCCUGGGGAGUACGGCCGCAAGGUUG